UACAGAGGUCUCAAGCGUUGUUCGGAUUCAUUGGGCGUAAAGGGUGCGUAGGUGGUGCCGUAAGUCGGAUGUGAAAUCUCGGGGCUCAACCCCGAAACUGCAUUCGAUACUGCGGUGCUCGAGGACUGGAGAGGAGACUGGAAUUCACGGUGUAGCAGUGAAAUGCGUAGAUAUCAGGAGGAAUACCGAUGGCGAAGGCAGGUCUCUGGGCUGACACUGACGCUCAUGCACGAAAGCGUGGGGAGCAAACAGG
rnacentral:rRNA from 1 species